rnacentral:rRNA from 1 species
GUCUGUGGCCAUGCCACCCUGAACGUGCCUGAUCCUGUCUCAUCUCAGAAGCUAAGCAGGGUCGGGCCUGGUUACUACUUGGAUGGGAGACCACCUAGGAAGACCAGGUGCUGUAGACA